rnacentral:lncRNA from 1 species
UUUGAAUAUAUUAAUGUACAAGUAAAAAUAAGUCAUUUUAACGGUAAAAUUAACUAGGUUAAUAGACCUAAGUGAAAAAAAAAUUCUAUAAUAUUAUGGAUUUAUGUGUCAAAAUCUUAAGCUUUUUUGCUUUUCUAAUUUUGUAGCAAAUAUCAAGGCUAUAAUGUUAAUAACUCAAUAGAAACAUCUUAACAAUUGAAUUAUUUUUGUGUUACAUCUUGAUGAUAGAAUAGGAAAACACAGAAAAAUGGGGUCUGGUACUCAUGUUGUAAUAUAGCUGGACCCUUAAUUAAUUAUUUAAAUCAAAAUUUCACAUGAUCUGUAACACCUUAGGCGAAUCUCACAUCGGCAAAGUACAGGAAAGAUGCCACCUCGAAAACAAAACCGUGUAGACUUUGUUAAGGUUCAAAGCGGAGACAAUAUCUUACCAACUCUAGGUUAGGCCAUGACGUAAUCAAUGCACAUAUCAUAUCCAAAUUAAAAAUAAUUAAUUAAUUAUUAAUAAUUUUCUUAUAAUUUGCACGAGCCUUUGGCCAAAGUGUUAACCAAUGUUUAGGUGAAAGUUUUGGUUUGAGUCGCCAUUUGUGAACUUAAGUUGUUCCUCUCUUAUAUUUGUAGGUAGAGGAAAAUAUAUCCUUGUGUAUGUAGAGAUUUCAUCUCUUGAUAUGUCUACAUUUCCCAUAUAUACUUGAUAGAUUUUUGGUUGAACUAUAAAUUCAUAUUCUUAGUAGAUUUCAUAUGUAACUUAUUCAAGAUAAAAAAAAAACAUUUUCUUAAUUUAGAAUGGAAUAUGUUUGCACGUACA